rnacentral:lncRNA from 1 species
UUUCAGAAAUGUGUAUUGCCAUAAAACCUGCCCCAUUCAGUUCCUCUUACAUCAGAAUGGCUACCCAUGGUGCUUGGACAAAGUCACAUUCAAUGACCUCUGAUUACUGCAACAAUCUCCAUGUGACUAAGGACAAAUGGAAAAGAUGAGGCUGUUCUGUAACAAACCAGGGCUGACUUUAACCAAAGACCUGGGAUUGAGUCUGCUCUCACGAUAUUGGAUGUUGGUUUGCAUGGUUGUGAGGAAAGGAAUCUGAAAGAGAAACCCUAUAAAUGGCCAGCAUCAAAGACCACAGCCCCUCUCCACGGUCAAUCCGUGCAUUCAUAGAAUGGUGAUGUCUUGAGAGCCCAAUGGAAAUGGCCCAAAAUGCUGAGAGAGGUUUGGUUGUUAUCGCCGUUGCUCUGUGAGGAUUUAUCUAAAAUCUCUCACAUACCUUACUUGUGAGUUAUUUCUCAUUCUCACAAAAACUCUACAACUCCAGUAUUAUUUCUCAUUUUACAAUUGAGAAAACUGAGACUCAGAAGCUUUGCCCAGCAUCAGGAGCUUAUGGGAGGCCGCACAGAAUCCACGUUUUCCCACCUUCUGUACUUUAUGUAGUAACCUCUUAUUUUGACAGAAUUGUUCUGUUUGCUUAGCUUUUGACACCUGUAUUCCUCACACCUGUCUUAUGUGCCUGGAGAGAAAAAAGUUUAAGGAUUGCAGCUCAAACUACAGUGACUAGGGAGUAGAAAGAAGUCAUGUUUUUCUCCAAGCCAGACAAGAAAUCCUGCAAGAGCAUGAACAUCUCAGCUGUUCUCGGCCUGCAGUUGUCUUCUUUGAAGCCCUCGGUUGGGCAGGCCCUGCUCCAGCAGAGAUUACAUGAAAGGGCAGAGAUGCAGCACUGAGGAAUCCCCUGUCAUCAUUAGGCCAUUUACAGCUGUUGCGUUUAAUAAGCUGCGUGUGAGUUUGGCCUGAGAAAGGAGACAGGAUCAACGUCUUCCCUCUCUCCCCACUAUGAUGGGCUAAGCUGUGUCUGCCGACGUUCACGUGUUGAAGUCCUAACUCUCAGUGUGACUGCAUUUGGACAUGUCGCCUUUAGGGAGAUAAUGAAGGUUAAAUGAGGUCAUCAGGGUGGCUCCUGAUGUGAUAGGACUGGUGUCCUUACGAGAAGAGGAAGAGACUCCAGAGGCCACUCUCUCUCUCUCUGCACACACGGAGGCAAGAUCAGGUGAGGAGAUCUACACGCCAUCUACACGCCAAGGAGAGAGGUCUGAGGAGGAACCACCCUUGAUCUUGGACUUCCAGCCUCUAGAACUGUGAGG